rnacentral:rRNA from 1 species
AUUGAACGCUAGCGGCAGGCCUAACACAUGCAAGUCGAGCGGAUGACGGGAGCUUGCUCCUUGAUUCAGCGGCGGACGGGUGAGUAAUGCCUAGGAGUCUGCCUGGUAGCGGGGGACAACGUUUCGAAAGGAACGCUAAUACCGCAUACGUCCUACGGGAGAAAGCAGGGGACCUUCGGGCCUUGCGCUAUCAGAUGAGCCUAGGUCGGAUUAGCUAGUUGGUGGGGUAAUGGCUCACCAAGGCGACGAUCCGUAACUGGUCUGAGAGGAUGAUCAGUCACACUGGAACUGAGACACGGUCCAGACUCCUACGGGAGGCAGCAGUGGGGAAUAUUGGACAAUGGGCGAAAGCCUGAUCCAGCCAUGCCGCGUGUGUGAAGAAGGUCUUCGGAUUGUAAAGCACUUUAAGUUGGGAGGAAGGGCAGUAAGCUAAUACCUUGCUGUUUUGACGUUACCGACAGAAUAAGCACCGGCUAACUCUGUGCCAGCCGCCGCCGUAA